rnacentral:lncRNA from 1 species
CCACGCUCUGCCUCCUGCGGGACACAGAAGCCCAGGUGCUUCAGUCUGUAAGAGAUGCCUGGGAAUGGGAAGCCAGGCGUGGUGCACGUGCCUGUAAUCCCACCUUGGGAGGCAGGAGGAUUGUUUCAAGUUCAAGGCCAGCUCGAACUACGUAGUGAGACCCUGUCUCAAAACACACACACACACACACACACACACACACACACACACGCAGAGAUAGAGAGAGACAGAGAGAGAGAGACCUGGAAAAGGGUGGAUUUUUUUUUUUAAAAGGACAAUACACAAAAGUCAACUUCCUGCCUUAAACACCUGAUGCUUAGCCCUGGAUGUCCUGCUCGAGGCUUGAGGUGGCCAGCUGCCUCCUGGGGUUGCCUGGGCUCCCUCCCUCUGACUCUGUGCCUCUAAGCCAGAGUUCACAGCAAGAGCUCCUGCCCUCCAGGGUGCUUCUUCUUUUUUUAUUUUUUUUAUUCUUAAAUUCUUUUAUUGGUACAUUUUAGGAAUAAAAUACGUUCACAUUUAUCAUUGAGUGCUUGUACCUGAACAUGAUGGAUCUUAGUUCUUAUUCUUUCCCCAUUACCUAUGUGCCCUUCACCCCCUCCACCCUUCCCUAUUUACAUAGACUUCCUUUCCAUUCUCAUAGUUUUUCUUUUCCCUUCUUUCUUUCCCCUUAUCCUCCCACCGCUCAUCAAGGAUGGAUGGAUAGAAGCCUCACCUGUGCUUCCUCGCAGAUACCAGGAACAUCCAUUUCUCCUGCUUCCUGGCUCACUGGGAUCUCAUCCUGUCACUUGUGCAGAUGAAAAGGUAAGAAGGUGGGAGAAUGGACUGAUGAAUAAAUGGAGCUGUGUGCCUCUCACAUCGGGUGUCACCACAAGGAGAGUGGUCUCUAUGAAGCUGUUUUUAGAAAAAAGCACGCUCCUCUUCACAGCCUGUCUUCUAAGGCCUCAGUGUGUUAGGCCCAGGGGACCCAAGAGAAAGACGUCAGGACCUCAGACCUCUACAUUUGAGCUGUAAGGAACAUAGCCAAUUGCAUGCUCUAGUAAAAUCUAUUGCCUCUGCUUGAAUGAAAGAGGUGGGGUGUCUUGUUGAACCUGUGUGAGCUUUCAGGGGCCCAUGAGGGUAACCUGGUGAGGAGUCGAAGCAAGGAAGGCCUCUAGAUGACCAGCAAGCCUGCUGCGGCCCAGGGCUCAGAGUGGACGCUGGGCUCUGGGGGCAGCACCAGGAGUCUGGGACAGAGCCCUUGGGUGCCAGGCUAGGCUCUGCUUAGAUGCAUGAGGUGAGCAUAGAUGCCCGUCCUCCUGUGCCCUGGCUUUGAGGACUGAGACUUCUGCUGUGGCAACUCCCGGGCUCCUACCCCUGCCGCUAUGGAUUGUGAGGACUGGCAGGGAGCUGAGUUUUCAGCUCUGAAUGACCAACAAAGUUGUGCCUUCAGGUGGCUCCUCUCCAAGUUGGAGAUUCCUCCUGUCUAAAAAGAUCCAGACUGGCUCCCUCUCCCAACUUUCCUGAUCUGUAAACUUCUCCCCCCACCCCGGAUGCCUGGAGCAUUUCUUCCCACGCCUCCCUGCCACCCUUCCAUACCAACAAAUGCGUUUUAUCUCCUCGGCAAGAACUGAGCUCUGGACGGGGACUAUGUGCCCUUCACUCCGUGGGGCCCCACAGCGAGGGUGGUCACAAGCACUGGAACUGCACUUGCCCUUGUAGAGGAUCCCGUGAGUUUUCCUUUUCCUUUUCUACUGCAUUUUGUGUGGGUUUUGUCAAGCUGAUUUUGAACUAAAAAUAUUCACACACUGAAUACCUUUGAAGGCACAGCCAGUUCCGACACUGUCUGUACUGGAAAAUGUGUUACUGUGCCCCCUUCUCCUCCCUCCACCAAAUGUUAGCUCUCACGUUUCUUGUCAGAUUGAAUUUCAUGUUUGUUUGUUUGUUUGCUUGCUUGCUUUCUCUGGUCAUUUUUCUGUCAUCUUAUUCCAAGCUAUUGGUGUAGCUAACAGAGUCCCGAUGUGCUGUUCUUUUCACAAAAAAAUGUCACCAAUGACUGACUGCCAGUAAGGCCCACACCAUGAGGGGCUACUCUGUCUGAGAGGGUGCCUUUACCCUGAGUUAUCCAUGCAUAUGCAGCCCUUCGGCCGGGAAGGUAAGAGAGUGGGCUGAUGGGUGGAUGGGUCAAUGGAUGGAUGGACGGAUGGACAGAUGGGUGAUGGAUGCGUGCAUGGACAGAUGGACACAUGGAUGGGUGGGUGAGUGAAUGAGUGGACAGGUAGGUCAAUGGGUUGCUGGAUGAGUGAGCAGAGAAAAAUUCUUAGAGGUGGAAGGAUGUAUUUGAACUGAGUUACCACCCGUAUAUAAUUUAUCAGGUAAGAAGGUGAGGGUGAAUUUAUCAAUGGGUGGAUGGAUGGGCAGUCAGAAACUUUUCGACCUGGAAGGGACAAUGGAAGGGACAUAAAGUCAAAUGCUUCCUUUCCCUGGGAAUCACCUUAGGUAGGAGCGAUGGAGUGGACACCGAACUGUGACUUCCUGUGCUUGCACCUCGGCGUGGCUGUGGCAGCGCUAUAGCUCCUGGUUAAAGGACCGUCUCUGAGAAUUCACCUCUUCAUCUGUAAAGUCACCACACCACCGCCCUCCACCUCCUGGCUGUCCUGCCGUGAUCUCAGUGGACCAUUAACACAGUGUGUGACGUAUCAGCAAGUGCUCAACAGUGAGAGCUGUUAUACAUUUUUAUAAAUGAUUGCGAUUUACAGUUGGUUGAGGGAUUGUCCAGAGAAGUCUCAGGGAUUACCUGCAUCUCACACAGUCAGUGAGAUCAUGGGAAAUGAGGCCCCUCUCAUUCCAGGUGGCGAUUCACCACUCAGGAUGGGCUCUCUGGGUCAAGAAUAUUCAGUGGCCAAGAACCAAGGAAAACAGCCAGAGACCCAGCGGCCAAUGCUUCAAUAGUAAGGAUGGCCCAUACAUCUGGGGGCCACAGCGAGCUUCUUCCCCCACUCAACAAGUAUUUCUGGAGACAACCAUGAGCCCAGCACUGCUCUGGAUGCUGGAAUGCAACAACAGGGAGAAGCCAGAGCCCGGCAGUGAUCCGUUCUUCAUGAGAUUUGGGGGAGAGGACAAGUUAACAAAUAAAACCUGAGAAAUGUUGAAUCAUGUUAAAUGUGGAGGAAAAUAAAGAAGGCAAAGAGGAAAUAUAUAGUGUGUGUUCGUGUGUGUGUGUGUGUGUGUGUGUGCACUCGUGUGCGCUAAUGCAGUGCCAACAGUGUGAUGGAGAAAGCAUUCGAAGUGUUGUUCUCAGAUUCCGUGGGGCUUCUUUCCAGGUUCUUGGUGUCCUGAACAAGGAUUUGGACAAGACAUAUGGAAAAGGCAGUGAAUGCGUACACUUAUUGAAGGUGGAAAAGAGGUUUGCCCUACAGGACAAGAGUGGCUGCUAAAAGGCUCACUAGGACCCUGAGGAUGAGGAAAAACCAUGCCAGGUAGAAACUGUACUACUGAAAAACUUGCUUGCUACCCGGCCAUACGUGAAUGAAGGAUCAGGAUGAGGAGCAGAGUCUUUUGAUUGGCUGUGCCUCCAUGCAAAUGAAGGAUGGGAAAUAGCAACUUCUGAUUGGUCCUUCCGCCAGUGCCAGGUGCAAAUGAAGGAUUGAAAAUAGCAGUUUUCUGAUUGGUCCACAGUUUUCAGCUGUAAGCCUG